AUUAUCAUCCUCUGGUAUCUACAGAUGAGGAAAACAGGCUUUGCAGGAUUUGAACCCAGCUGUCUGGCACCCACUCCAAUGCUUUUAGCCACCGUGGUUCAUGGCCCCACCCCAGAGCAGGAUCUCUGGUACACGGCCUGGAAGAGAGCCCUGAGGCCCACCAAUAGUGACUUCUCACGAGCUGCUCACCAGCGCUCCUUGGGGGCCCUCGAGCACCCCCAAGUCCCACUCGUGGAUUGGAAGCAGCAGAGAGCUGGAGGGUUAAGAGGACAUGAGAAUGGCAUGACAGAUCCUCAGCCACAAGGAUCAGCACAUGUGAGAAGGAUGAUCCCAGAAAAACGGGCCCUCCCCUCAGCCCACGCCUUGAUUCUGCUCCAGAACGCGGAGGAUGCAGAACUUCAAGAGGGCUGCGGCGAAGGUGUUGGCCAGCUCAGUGGACCCGGCACUUUGGCGUCAGAACUUCAGGAGCUGUGACAGGUGCAUUCCGUGAGCCUGAGCUGUGAGUGUCCGGUUGAGAGAGGCCCACCCUGGAAGCCAGCCCAGCCAGCCAGCCCUGGG
rnacentral:lncRNA from 1 species